rnacentral:lncRNA from 1 species
UCAAUCGUUUUACAAAAUAAUAAUUAUACGCCCAAAUUUGGCGUGUUUCUUAUACAUAAAAACAGCAUUUAUCCAAAACACCUUCCGUGCUUUUUGUUCUUCAUUCGUGCUGCCAUCAACACCAAUCACCAUUCGUCCAUGGAGAAGAAAUCAACGAUUCGUGCACCAGCGGCGUUCCAGCGGGAAGGUUUCGUGAACGUCGGCUGCGGCGGUGUUUUCGUGUGUGAGACAGACCGUGCUGAUGCCAUGCGGUCUGGUGGUCCAAGCUACGGCAGCUACUGCUGUGUGUCGUGGUGCUUUAACAACGGCAGAACCCAGAAGAAGCCUAUCUUGCCUUGGAAUAAAGACAUUGCGGAAA